UAUACCGUGAACUGCGAAUGGCUCAUUAAAUCAGUUAUCGUUUAUUUGAUAGUACCUUACUACUUGGAUAACCGUGGUAAUUCUAGAGCUAAUACAUGCUGAAAACCCCAACUUCGGGAGGGGUGUAUUUAUUAGAUAAAAAACCAACGCCCUUCGGGGCUUCUUGGUGAUUCAUGAUAACUUCACGGAUCGCAUGGCCUUGCGCCGGCGACGGUUCAUUCAAAUUUCUGCCCUAUCAACUUUCGAUGGUAAGGUAUUGGCUUACCAUGGUUUCAACGGGUAACGGGGAAUUAGGGUUCGAUUCCGGAGAGGGAGCCUGAGAAACGGCUACCACAUCCAAGGAAGGCAGCAGGCGCGCAAAUUACCCAAUCCCGACACGGGGAGGUAGUGACAAUAAAUACUGAUACAGGGCUCUUUUGGGUCUUGUAAUUGGAAUGAGUACAAUUUAAACCUCUUAACGAGGAACAAUUGGAGGGCAAGUCUGGUGCCAGCAGCCGCGGUAAUUCCAGCUCCAAUAGCGUAUAUUAAAGUUGUUGCAGUUAAAAAGCUCGUAGUUGAAACUUGGGCCUGGCUGGCAGGUCCGCCUCACCGCGUGUACUUGUCCGGCCGGGCCUUUCCUUCUGGAGAACCUCAUGCCCUUCACUGGGUGUGUUGGGGAACCAGGACUUUUACUUUGAAAAAAUUAGAGUGUUCAAAGCAGGCCUUUGCUCGAAUACGUUAGCAUGGAAUAAUAGAAUAGGACGUGCGGUCCUAUUUUGUUGGUUUCUAGGACCGCCGUAAUGAUUAAUAGGGACAGUCGGGGGCAUCAGUAUUCAAUUGUCAGAGGUGAAAUUCUUGGAUUUAUUGAAGACUAACUACUGCGAAAGCAUUUGCCAAGGAUGUUUUCAUUAAUCAGUGAACGAAAGUUAGGGGAUCGAAGACGAUCAGAUACCGUCGUAGUCUUAACCGUAAACUAUGCCGACUAGGGAUCGGGCGAUGUUCUUUUUCUGACUCGCUCGGCACCUUACGAGAAAUCAAAGUU
rnacentral:rRNA from 3 species